rfam:Camelus ferus unplaced genomic scaffold scaffold843, whole genome shotgun sequence.
GGGUACAGCUCAGUGGUAGAGCGUGUGCUUAGCAUGCACGAGGUCCUGGGUUCAAUCCCCAGUACCUCCA